CUAACAACAAACGCAAACAUGUUAUCUCCACAGCAAAUCCAACCGAAGUUGCUUUCAAGUCCACAUCCCACUGCCUCUGCCCAAACAGCUGGUCAUCUUUGGUCUCGGAGAAUGGAAAAACAGCGAGACGACAAUCUCAGUAGAUGUUCUGGUCAGUGCAGAAGUACCUGCCCAGAACAUUGGGACUCUGACACAACAAGCAAGACUUGUGAUCAGCCGCAGGACAAAGCCAGUGUCUUGAGCAGUACUCCUCUGGUUCAAAGGAAAUUCAUGUUCCCAGAACAGCACGAUGCCACGGAUCUCUCUGACACAUUACACACAUGCAUUGGAAAUGAAACGAUAACUUCCAACACCUCACACUUGGGCGAUAGUGUAUGCUAUGCUGAUAUCCAAGUUAAUAAAAUUGACACCAGUCAUUCCAUUAUGGGGAAUAAACCCCCAGUCUGGCCUACGGAUAAGACACCUAGACGGACAGUUAUUAGUAAGAGAGGCCACCUGACAUGGAGCUCUGAGGACAUGGACAGCCUUGCAGAGGAUUUAGACCAGGCUUCAACUCCCAAGAAAAGGAGGCUGUCCAGGAUGAACAGCAAAGAGGAAAUGACCGUGCAGAUAAAGAAUGAUAACAGAGAAGUUGCAGUGUGUCCAUCGAAGCGCUGGAGCCAUACGAUGUGUCUGAGCGACCCUGACACGGCCAUCGUCAUCGGAGGGGAGACGGCAGAUCAAAACUACUGCCAAGACUUCCUGUGGAAGCUCGAGUUAGACAAUGACUUCUGGUUCCCCAUGAACUCCUCCACCUCUGGACCCGUACCACCCUGUGCCCGAGGACACUCUGCGACCUAUGACCCAGACUCCAAGUCGGUCUUUGUUUACGGGGGCCUGAGGGAAGGUCAGCGCUACAGCGAGCUGUACAUCCUCAAUACUCUGACCUGGAAGUGGACGCUUGUCACUGCGGGAGGAAAUGUUCCAAAAUUGGCAUAUCACACUGCGGCUUUUUAUAAGAAAGAGCUUUUUGUCUUCGGUGGAGUUCAGCCGAGCCAGUCUUCUGAGGAUAAAUCCUGCAGCAACGCUCUGUACAUCUUCAACCCAGAGUUUGAACUCUGGUACCAGCCGAUUGUGGAAGGAGACAAACCUCUGCCUCGGUUUGGACACUCAGCCACACUGAUGUCACAGAAGUUGAUAAUAUUUGGUGGAAGGAAGACUGCUACCUACCUUAAUGAUCUCCAUGUUCUAGAUCUGGGAUUCAUGGAGUACACAGCUGUGAAGUGUGGGAACAUGCCACCACUGCCUCGAGGGUUUCAUGCAGCUCUGCCAAUCACAGACAACAGGAUUUUAAUCAGUGGAGGUUGCAGUGCAAUUGGGGCCCUGCAGGAUGUCCAUAUUUUCAACAUUGACACCAACAUGUGGAGCUCAGUGACGUCUCCCCUGUUUAGCUCCAAGCCUCGUGCGGGACACAGCAUGAUAAACCUGGGCUGCUCCGUCCUGACAGAUGCAGAGAAGCAUGAACAGGGUGAAAAUGUCAGGGCCCACUGCACAUUGCUGGUGUUUGGUGGAUCAGACUGCUCCGGUACCUUCUACAAUGACACCUUCAAGUGCACAGUGGAGAUUCCCCAUGACAAAUGAUGUUGACAAAUCCAUUCAGGACAAUUGUUUAUCAUUGUUUAACAGUGGAGGAUGCUCUGAUCUGCACUGACAGAAAAUUAGUCUCUCCAAGUGUGUGUAUCCUUUUAACAGUUAUUUUUCCUUCUGAUUGUUUCUUUCCAUGUUGCAUGAUGUAUUCUGCAGCUUAGGCUUUAUUGUUGUUUCCUUUUAUUACUUUAUCAGUCUCUUCUAUAACCAUGCAUACUUCCUCCACACAGGCAAUAUGCUGCAAGCGGUGAGCUCAGAGGUUUUGCACUUUGCAUAACAAAUAUCUGAAUGAUCUGCAUGUUUUACACAUUACUUUGUCCUACCUUGCCCCCACAUAGCAUAGCAGUACAUACAAUAUAAAAUGUAUAUCAAAAUGCCAAUAAAUAUUUUUGAUUUUCUUCUAAGUGUCCUUAAAAUAAAGUAAUGGAACUGAAAUAAGAUUAUUUUCAAAGUUUUUUUAUUCAACAAUUUACAAAAUUGCAUGGCUGCCUUUUAAAGCUGCAGAGUUGUUAUUCUAUGCACGCAGAUCAGCAGGUGUGUCCGGCUGACAAGACGGGCUGCUCACUUUGAAAGCUUCCAUCUCAACUAAGGUCUGACUACAUACCUCUCUGCAUUGUAGACCUGUGGGACCAGACAGAUGUCUGCCAUGGAUAUCUAAAUGG